rnacentral:rRNA from 1 species
UGGAACCGCUUCGGCGCACCCAGAAACCCUUUGUGAACUUAUACCUAUUUGUUGCCUCGGCGUAGGCCGGCCUCUUCACUGAGGCCCCCUGGAGACAGGGAGCAGCCCGCCGGCGGCCAACUAAACUCUUGUUUCUAUAGUGAAUCUCUGAGUAAAAACAUAAAUGAAUCAAAACUUUCAACAACGGAUCUCUUGGUUCUGGCAUCGAUGAAGAACGCAGCGAAAUGCGAUAAGUAAUGUGAAUUGCAGAAUUCAGUGAAUCAUCGAAUCUUUGAACGCACAUUGCGCCCUCUGGUAUUCCGGAGGGCAUGCCUGUUCGAGCGUCAUUUCAACCCUCAAGCCUGGCUUGGUGAUGGGGCACUGCCUUCUAGCGAGGGCAGGCCCUGAAAUCUAGUGGCGAGCUCGCUAGGACCCCGAGCGUAGUAGUUAUAUCUCGUUCUGGAAGGCCCUGGCGGUGCCCUGCCGUUAAACCCCCAACUU